rnacentral:rRNA from 1 species
UACGGAGGGAGCUAGCGUUGUUCGGAAAUACUGGGCGUAAAGCGCACGUAGGCGGCGCAGCAAGUCAGGGGUGAAAUCCCGGGGCUCAACCCCGGGAGGCGGGUGGAUACUGUCAAGCUCGAGUCCGGAAGAGGCGAGUGGAAUUCCUGGUGUAGCGGUGAAAUGCGCAGAUAUCAGGAGGAACACCGGUGGCGAAGGCGGGUCUCUGGGCAACAACUGACGCUGAGGAGCGAAAGCGUGGGGAGCGAACAGG